CCUACGGGAGGCAGCAGUGGGGAAUAUUGGGCAAUGGGCGCAAGCCUGACCCAGCAACGCCGCGUGCAGGAAGAAGGCUUUCGGGUUGUAAACUUCUUUUCUGAGGGACGAAGAAAGUGACGGUACCUCAGGAAUAAGCCACGGCUAACUACGUGCCAGCAGCCGCGGUAAUACGUAGGUGGCAAGCGUUAUACGGAUAUAUUGGGUGUAAAGGGCGUGUAGGCGGGAAUGCAAGUCAGAGGUGAAAACUCAGGGCUCAACCCUCUGCCUGCAUUGGAAACUGGUAUUCUUGAGUGCUGGAGAGGCAAGCGGAAUUCCGUGUGUAGCGGUGAAAUGCGUAGAUAUACGGAGGAACACCAGUGGCGAAGGCGGAUUGCUGGACAGUAACUGACGCUGAGGCGCGAAAGCGUGGGGAGCAAACAGGAUUAGAUACCCCAGUAGUC
rnacentral:rRNA from 1 species